rnacentral:rRNA from 1 species
GUGGGGAAUAUUGGACAAUGGGCGAAAGCCUGAUCCAGCCAUGCCGCGUGUGUGAAGAAGGCCUUUUGGUUGUAAAGCACUUUAAGCGAGGAGGAGGCUACCGAGAUUAAUACUCUUGGAUAGUGGACGUUACUCGCAGAAUAAGCACCGGCUAACUCUGUGCCAGCAGCCGCGGUAAUACAGAGGGUGCAAGCGUUAAUCGGAUUUACUGGGCGUAAAGCGCGCGUAGGUGGCCAAUUAAGUCAAAUGUGAAAUCCCCGAGCUUAACUUGGGAAUUGCAUUCGAUACUGGUUGGCUAGAGUAUGGGAGAGGAUGGUAGAAUUCCAGGUGUAGCGGUGAAAUGCGUAGAGAUCUGGAGGAAUACCGAUGGCGAAGGCAGCCAUCUGGCCUAAUACUGACACCGAGGUGCGAAAGCAUGGGGAGCAAACAGGAUUAGAUACCCGAGUAGUCC